GACAGAGGGUGCAAACGUUGUUCGGAAUUACUGGGCGUAAAGCGCGUGUAGGCUGUUUCGAAAGUCGGAUGUGAAAGCCCUGGGCUCAACCUAGGAAGUGCAUUCGAAACUUCGAGACUCGAGUCCUGGAGAGGAUCGCGGAAUUCUCGGUGUAGAGGUGAAAUUCGUAGAUAUCGAGAGGAACACCGGUGGCGUAGGCGGCGAUCUGGACAGUGACUGACGCUGAGACGCGAAAGCGUGGGGAGCAAACAGG
rnacentral:rRNA from 1 species